GAUGUGCUUGCACAUCGCUGACGAGUGGCGGACGGGUGAGUAAUGCUUGGGAAUUUGCCUUUGCGAGGGGGAUAACAGUUGGAAACGACUGCUAAUACCGCAUAACGUCUACGGACCAAAGGGGGCUUCGGCUCUCGCGUGAAGAGAAGCCCAAGUGAGAUUAGCUAGUUGGUGAGGUAAAAGGCUCACCAAGGCGACGAUCUCUAGCUGUUCUGAGAGGAAGAUCAGCCACACUGGGACUGAGACACGGCCCAGACUCCUACGGGAGGCAGCAGUGGGGAAUCUUCGGCAAUGGGCGCAAGCCUGAUG
rnacentral:rRNA from 1 species